UCAAAUUAAGCGGAGGAAAAGAAACUAACAAGGAUUCCCCUAGUAACGGCGAGCGAAGCGGGAAGAGCUCAAAUUUGAAAUCUGGUGGCCUCAGGUCAUCCGAGUUGUAAUCUAUAGAAGUGUUUUCCGUGCUGGCCCAUGUACAAGUCCCUUGGAACAGGGCGUCAUAGAGGGUGAGAAUCCCGUCCUUGACAUGGACUACCAGUGCUCUGUGAUACACUUUCAACGAGUCGAGUUGUUUGGGAAUGCAGCUCAAAAUGGGUGGUAAAUUCCAUCUAAAGCUAAAUAUUGGCGAGAGACCGAUAGCGAACAAGUACCGUGGAGGGAAAAGAUGAAAAGCACUUUGGAAAGAGAGUUAAACAGUAUGUGAAAUUUGUUGAAAGGGGAAACGAUUGAAGUCAGUCGUGCUCAAUGGGACUCAGCCCGUUCUGCGGUGUAUUUCCAUUGGGUGGGGUCAACAUCAGUUUUGAUCGCUGGAUAAAAGGCAGGAGGAAUGUAGCACCCCCGGGUGAACUUAUAGCCUCUUGUCACAUACACGGGUGGUUGGGACUGAGGAACGCAGCAUGCCUUUAUGGCCGGGAUUCGUCCACGUACAUGCUUAGGAUGUUGACAUAAUGCUUUAAACGACCCGUCUUAAA
rnacentral:rRNA from 1 species